GCUGGUGGCAUGCUUUAUACAUGCAAGUCGAGCGAAGACUAGAUUUGUAGUAGAAGUGAUUGAUUUUCACUUUGUGGAGAUUAUGAGUUUUUGCUAUUCCUGGUCUUAGCGGCGAACGGGUGAGUAACGCGUGAAUAAUCUGCCCUUGAAAUCGGGAUACCAUUCCGAAAGGAAUGCUAAUACCGAAUAACGCUAUGAAACAUAGGUUUCAUAACCAAAGUUGAAUCUUUGGAUUCUUCGUUCAAGGAUGAGUUCGCGUCCUAUUAGCUAGUUGGUGAGGUAAAGGCUCACCAAGGCUAUGAUGGGUAGCCGGCCUGAGAGGGCGUACGGCCACAUUGGGACUGAGACACGGCCCAGACUCCUACGGGAGGCAGCAGUAGGGAAUCUUCCGCAAUGGGCGAAAACCUGACGGAGCGAUGCCACGUGGAUGACGGAGGCCUUCGGGUCGUAAAAUCCUGUCAGGGGGGACGAUGGUCAAUUUUCGGAUUGAUUGACGGUACCUCCAGAGGAAGCUCCGGCCAACUACGUGCCAGCAGCCGCGGUAAUACGUAGGGAGCAAGCGUUGUUCGGAUUUACUGGGCGUAAAGAGUGCGUAGGUGGCUAUACAAGUCAAGGGUGAAAUCUCUACUUUCAAGGUAGAAACUGCCUUUGAUACUGUAUGGCUAGAGGACAAGAGGGGGAAAUGGAACUCUGGGAGUAGCGGUGAAAUGCGUAGAUAUCCAGAGGAACGCCAGUAGCGAAGGCGGUUUCCUGGCUUGUUUCUGACACUGAGGCACUAAAGCUAGGGGAGCGAUCGGGAUUAGAGACCCCGGUAGUCCUAGCCCUAAACGAUGGGUACUAGGUGUGGGGGGAGCAUUACCCUCUGUGCCGAAGCUAACGCGUUAAGUACCCCGCCUGGGGAGUACGGUCGCAAGACUGAAACUCAAAAGAAUUGA
rnacentral:rRNA from 1 species